UCCGUUUUGUCAACGGCAGUCUCUCUAGAGUGCUCGGCCGAACCGCUAGCAACUAAAGAUAAGGGUUGCGCUCGUUGCGGGACUUAACCCAACAUCUCACGACACGAGCUGACGACAGCCAUGCAGCACCUUGCACUCUGCCUAGGUUUCCCUAAGAGGCCCCAUCUCUGGGGUUGUCAGAGGCAUUCUAGCCCUGGUAAGGUUCUUCGCGUUGCGUCGAAUUGAACCACAUGCUCCACCGCUUGUGCGGGUCCCCGUCAAUUCCUUUGAGUUUUAAUCUUGCGACCGUACUCCCCAGGCGGAUGACUUCACGCGUUAGCUGCGGUACUAAGGAAGUCUCCUUCCCCAACACCUAGUCGACAUCGUUUAGGGCGUGGACUAC
rnacentral:misc_RNA from 1 species